rnacentral:rRNA from 1 species
CCGCCAGACUCCUACGGGAGGCAGCAGUGAGGCCUCUUGGUCAAUGGUCGUAAGACUGCCCCCGCCAAGUAGCGUGCCGGAUGACGGCCCUCUGGGUUGUCCCCUGCUUUUAUGCGGGGCUAAAAUGCGUCCCGUGUGAUGUUUUGUCGGUACCGCCUGCCUCAGGACCGGCUCCUUCCGUGCCCGCCGCCGCGGUAAUCCGGCCGGUCCGGGCGUUCUCCGGAUUUAUUGGGGGUAAAGGGAGCGGAGGCCGCAUGUGAAGCGGGCCGUGAAAUGCCGUGGCUCAACCAGGGCCCUGCGGCGCGAGCUGGCUUGCUUGAGGGCGCGGAACGUAUGCGGAAGUCGUGGUGGAGCGGUGAAAUGCGGAGAGAUCACGAAGAACGCCGAUUGCGAAGGCAGCAUACGGCAGCGCUACUGACGCGGAAGCGCGAAGGCGCGGGUAUCGAACAGGAUUAGAUACCCGCGUAUA